GGUCAGAUGGCCGAGCGGUCUAAGGCGCCACGUUAAGGCCGUGGUCUCUUCGGAGGCGUGGGUUCGAGUCCCACUCUGAUCA
rnacentral:tRNA from 4 species